rnacentral:misc_RNA from 1 species
GAUGAAGAACGUAGCGAAAUGCGAUAAGUAGUGUGAAUUGCAGAAUUCAGUGAAUCAUCGAAUCUUUGAACGCACAUUGCGCCCCUUGGUAUUCCAUGGGGCAUGCCUGUUCGAGCGUCAUUUGUACCCUCAAGCUUUGCUUGGUGUUGGGUGUUUGUCCCGCGUUGCGCGUGGACUCGCCUUAAAGCGAUUGGCAGCCGGCAUAUUGGCCUUGGAGCGCAGCACAUUUUGCGCUUCUAGUCAUGAAUGUUGGCGUCCAUUAAGCCUAUACAUUUGCUCUUGACCUCGGAUCAGGUAGGGGUACCCGCUGAACUUAAGCAUAUCAAUAAGCGGAGGA